ACCACAUCCACCUAGAGGAGCCUGUCCUAUAAUCGAUAAUCCUCGCUUAACCUCACCAUUUCUAGUUAUCAGCCUGUAUACCUCCGUCGCCAGCUUACCACGUGAGCGCCAAUUAGUGAGCCCAAUGUUUUUCACCAAUACGUCAGGUCAAGGUGCAGKRGGAUGAAACGGAAAGAGAUGGGCUACACUUUCUACUUUAGAAGAAACGGAAAACUAUCUAUGAAACCUAGUUAGAAGGCGGAUUUAGCAGUAAAAAGGGAUCAGAAUACCCAUUUUAACCCGGCACUGGGGUGUGUACACACCGCCCGUCACCCUCUUCAAAGCCCCAACAAGUAUGAACUAAUCAAGGCAUAACAGAAAAGGCAAGUCGUAACAUGGUAAGUAUACCGGAANGUGUGCUUGGAAACBUAWUAUAGCUUAACUAAAK
rnacentral:rRNA from 1 species